rnacentral:rRNA from 1 species
ACUCCUACGGGAGGCAGCAGUGGGGAAUAUUGCACAAUGGGCGCAAGCCUGAUGCAGCCAUGCCGCGUGUAUGAAGAAGGCCUUCGGGUUGUAAAGUACUUUCAGCGGGGAGGAAGGCAAUACGGUUAAUAACCGUGUUGAUUGACGUUACCCGCAGAAGAAGCACCGGCUAACUCCGUGCCAGCAGCCGCGGUAAUACGGAGGGUGCAAGCGUUAAUCGGAAUUACUGGGCGUAAAGCGCACGCAGGCGGUCUGUCAAGUCGGAUGUGAAAUCCCCGGGCUCAACCUGGGAACUGCAUUCGAAACUGGCAGGCUUGAGUCUUGUAGAGGGGGGUAGAAUUCCAGGUGUAGCGGUGAAAUGCGUAGAGAUCUGGAGGAAUACCGGUGGCGAAGGCGGCCCCCUGGACAAAGACUGACGCUCAGGUGCGAAAGCGUGGGGAGCAAACAGGAUUAGAAACCCCAGUAGUCCCAUGA